UACAGGGGGUGCAAACGUUGCUCGGAAUCAUUGGGCGUAAAGAGCUCGUAGGCGGUUUGUCGCGUCGAAUGUGAAAACCCGGGGCUCAACCCCGGGCCUGCAUUCGAUACGGGCAGACUAGAGUUCGGUAGGGGAGUCUGGAAUUCCUGGUGUAGCGGUGAAAUGCGCAGAUAUCAGGAGGAACACCGGUGGCGAAGGCGGGUCUCUGGGCCGAUACUGACGCUGAGGAGCGAAAGCGUGGGGAGCGAACAGG
rnacentral:rRNA from 1 species